rnacentral:rRNA from 1 species
AACGAACGCUGGCGGCGUGCCUAAUACAUGCAAGUAGAACGCACAGUUUAUACCGUAGCUUGCUACACCAUAGACUGUGAGUUGCGAACGGGUGAGUAACGCGUAGGUAACCUGCCUGGUAGCGGGUGAUAACUAUUGGAAACGAUAGCUAAUACCGCAUAAUAUUAAUUAUUGCAUGAUAAUUAAUUGAAAUGUGCAAUUGCACCACUACCAGAUGGACCUGCGUUGUAUUAGCUAGUAGGUGAGGUAACGGCUCACCUAGGCGACGAUACAUAGCCGACCUUGGAGGGGGAUCGGCCAACAUGGGAAUGAGACAAGGCCCAGAACCCCAAGGGAGGCAGCAGGAAGGGAUCCUCGGCAAUGGACGGAAGUCUGAACGAGCAACGCCGCGGGAGUGAAGAAGGUUUUCGGAUCGUAAAGAUCUGUUGUAAGAGAAGAACGGGUGGGAGAGUGGAAAGUGCACACUGUGACGGUAGCUUACCAGAAAGGGACGGCUAACUACGUG